rnacentral:rRNA from 1 species
GACGUAGGAGGCGAGCGUUGUCCGGAUUCAUUGGGCGUAAAGAGCGCGCAGGCGGCUUGGUAAGUCGGAUGUGAAAUCCCGAGGCUCAACCUCGGGUCUGCAUCCGAUACUGCCCGGCUAGAGGUAGGUAGGGGAGAUCGGAAUUCCUGGUGUAGCGGUGAAAUGCGCAGAUAUCAGGAGGAACACCAAUGGCGAAGGCAGCUCUCUGGGACGGUACUGGACGCUGAAGACGCGAAAGCGUGGGGAGCAAACAGG